CUUAGAUUGUACAAUGGGUGAUUGCUAUCCACAUGGUACAGGUUAGGAAGUGAAGGCCAGUUCUUUGCGACUAGAUAUCUUACUUUCUGUUCCCAUAGUGUAGUGUUGUGCUUGGCAUGCGACUCAAACAUGUAAGGUGUCAGUGUUAAAUAAAUUGAGAUUGCAGUUUUCCAUAGUAAACAUUAGUAAAGUCAGGAUUCAAACCCAGGUAAACUUACGUGAGUCCAUUGUAUAAUAUCAAGUUUGUAUAUCCAUGAGGCUGUAGGUAUUUUAUUUUUCCAAAGGCAGAAUUCUAAAGAAACUAACAUAGAAAACAAACAGAUAUUUAAUGAGCCAAGACAGUACAUCAGUCAUUAAAAAGUUGCAUUCAGUAUCAGAAAAACAUGAUGCUUGAAGAGUUAAUAUCCACUUUUCCUUUUGUAGGCAUCAACCCUAGGAGAAAAUGGCAUGCUAUUUACUUCCUCCUUUCUUUACAGAUGGUUUCUGACUUCUGGGAUUUAAAAGGAUCAAAGAGUUGGACUUGGUCUGGGGCACAUGAACUCAUGCAAGAUGUCUUAAUGGUAGGUGUGAUAGUCCUGCGGCAGUUUGAUCCUUGCUACAAAAAAAAAAGUGUAGUCAGCCUUAAAGGAAUUAGUUUUACCUUUUUGUAACUGAAAAAUUGCCUCAGGCUACCCAGUAAGUACUUCAGUUUGUGAGUUUUCUACCACCUUUCAUUUCUUGCUGCAAGCUGACAGUUCUUUUCUCAGCUCAUCAUCUCUGCCUUACGUUUUGCCAAAUGCAGUCAAUUGCAACCACAAAGUUGUUGGGUUUUUUUUUUUUUUCUAUAGUCAAGGGCAGAUUAUUUGGCAUAGAAUUUAUAUCAAGGGACAGUUUUGCCUCUCCAAGCUGUGAAUUUCCUGCAAAAUUUUCCAUCUUCGGAGAGCAGUUUCCUAAAAUUGCCUUUCAGCUAACCAACUAAGCCAAUUUUAAGUAUCUUAGGUCUUUUUUAAUAGCUAGUUUCUGUGUGUAGAUGGGCUGAUGUGCCAUGGGCCAGCGACCGUACACCCUUUGUUGGAACUUAGCAGAGAUGCUUUCCUCCACAUGGGUAAACUAGAGCUGAUGGGGACAGUCCGCCCUGCUGCUCAGUCUCUAAGGAAGACAUUUGGUUGGAAUCUGGUCCGUUU